rnacentral:tRNA from 1 species
AGGGCUUUAGCUUAAUUAAAGUGUCUGACUGCAUGCAGAAGAUGCGGGAUAGUAUCCCGUGAGCCUCU